rnacentral:rRNA from 1 species
AUGAAUCUCUUGGCCUGGAACUGUCGAGGCUUGGGGUUGGACUCGACAGUUGGCGAAUUACGGGACCUCAUACGGUCAUACAACCCAGCGGUGGUCUUUCUUUCAGAAACCUUAAAGAAAUCUGAACCGAUGAAUAAGCUAAAAUGGAGUCUGGGGUUCAGACAAGGAGUUGCAGUUAACUGUGUUGGGCGAAGUGGGGGUCUAGCCUUGUGGUUGAGAGAUGAUGUGCAAGUUACGGUG